rnacentral:rRNA from 1 species
CAGGCCUAACACAUGCAAGUCGAGGGGCAGCAGACCACUUCGGUGGUGCUGGCGACCGGCGCACGGGUGAGUAUCGCGUUUGUAACCUACCCUUAACUGGGGAAUAGCCCAAAGAAAUUCGGAUUAAUACCCCAUUAAAUUUUAGCACGGCAUCGUGCUUCCAUUAAAGCUUCGGCGGUUAAGGAUGGGCAUGCGUGACAUUAGUUUGUUGGUGAGGUAACGGCUCACCAAGACUACGAUGUCUAGGGGGUAUGAGAGGAUGAUCCCCCACACUGGUACUGAGACACGGACCAGACUCCUACGGGAGGCAGCAGUGAGGAAUAUUGGGCAAUGGACGCAAGGAUGACCCAGCCAUGCCGCGUGCAGGAUGACGGCGCUAUGCGUUGUAAACUGCUUUGCAUACAGGAAGAAACCCGCCUCACGUGUAGGAGGUUGACGGUACUGUAAGACAGAAGCAUCGGCUAACUCCGUGCCAGCAGCCGCGGUAA